UAACGCGUGAAGGCGAGCACUCUAGACGAACUGCCGUUGACAAAAACGGAGGAAGGUGGGGAUGACGUCAAAUCAUCAUGCCCCUUAUGUUCUGGGCUACACACGUGCUACAAUGGCCGGUACAGACGGACGCAAAGCCGCGAGGUGGAGCAAAUCCUAAAAAGCCGGUCUCAGUUCGGAUUGCAGGCUGCAAUUCGCCUGCAUGAAGUCGGAAUCGCUAGUAAUCGCAGGUCAGCAUACUGCGGUGAAUACGUUCCCGGGCCUU
rnacentral:rRNA from 1 species